rnacentral:rRNA from 1 species
UACGUAGGGGGCAAGCGUUGUCCGGAUUUAUUGGGCGUAAAGAGCGUGUAGGCGGUCAGGUAGGUCCGUUGUGAAAGUCGGGGGCUCAACCCUCGGAUGCCGGUGGAUACUGUCGGGCUUGAGUACGGAAGAGGCGAGUGGAAUUCCUGGUGUAGCGGUGAAAUGCGCAGAUAUCAGGAGGAACACCAAUUGCGAAGGCAGCUCGCUGGGACGUUACUGACGCUGAGACGCGAAAGCGUGGGGAGCAAACAGG